CUCCCUCAGGAAAGCUGAGUCAGCCAUCUUGAAUUUACCUUGAUGCGGGGAAGAUUUGGCCAGCCCGUGUGGAUUAAGAGUCCCCAACUUCAACCCACCACGACCAGCACCUUAAUUUUUUUUCAUCAACUGCCCUAAAUUUGUUUAGAGGGGUAUUCCACUAAGCGAGCUCUACAAGUCAAGGCUGGGCAGUGGGUCCAUGAAUAAACUGCCUCACUCCUGCAGGUGUCUUUCCAUACUUCCCAUCGUUCAAGAACCAAAAGAUGGCUGCUGCCCAGAAGCAUGUGCUGCGUGUGUAUGUUGAACGAGACACCGCCCUGAAACUUACUCUACUUGAGCGACCAAAGUCAGUGGAGGAGCUGAAAGAAAUAAUUUAAGAGAGGUUCAAGCCAAGACAGAAUGGGGACUUUAGCCUUCACUAUGUCCUCAUGGACACAACCUAUGCCCUAUGUCGCCAAGAAAUUGUUGGAGCUGUUGGAGCUCCACGAGUGAGAGACGUCGUGGACAGAUGGCCAGGCCUACUUAUGGAGUCACAGGUAAAAAAUAAAAUAUAAAAUAUGUGUAUAUAUGUAUGUAUAUAUACAUGUAUGUGUGUGUGUGUGUGUGUGUGUGUGUGUGUGUCUGUCUCUUUACUGUUCUCCCAGUUUUUAAAAGUCUAGAUUUUCAAACAAUUUACCAAAAAGCAAAUGACAGAUGUAAAAUGACAACACAUCACUCUGUGACGUAUUUUUUUCC